AAGAUUGUCCUAGACAGGAAGUCAAGCACAAAAACUGUGCAUGUCAUCCGGUAUUUCAAAAUAAAACACCAUAUGCGGACCCUGCCUGUGUAUCAGUUCAUGUAGAAGAGAAAUACUUCCUGGUUUUGGAUUUAUCAGUAACAGACCAAUCCGAUGAUGAAUCCCUAAUCCAUGUGGACCCCAACAGGACUUUAACUGCUAACUCUCUCUGAAGGUAACAGCACAGCAUAAAGGAACUUUAUUACUUUAUUAAACACGAGUAAACCUGCAAAAACCAAAACUGUAAAAUCACGUUUCUUUUCACAUAUUGUAGAGGCUCAAUGGUCACUGAAUAAUAUCCAAAUUAGCAGGAAAUAGAGAGAGGCAAAACAACCUGUUGCUAGUAUGUUGUCUCCUCUAAACUGAGCCCAGCUGACCGGGGCUGCAGUACGCUGCUGCCACGCUCCAAAUAUGCAUCCUGUAUGCAAUACCCAAUGCUGCUCUAUGGAGCAAAUACAGAAUGUGCUUAAUACGGACCCUGUAUGUUUUCGGCUUGAGAGACUUGGCCUUUCAACAAUACGUUUUCUAUAACCAGAAUUUUUUACUUACCUGUUGCAAAGGAAUGUAAACUAUAUCUAUAUCUGUGUUUAUAUUUUUGUAUAUCCGUAUCUAAUCUAUAUCUGAGAGAUAUCCCUCCAUAUUAUUAUUAUUAUUAUUAUUUUCAUUACAUAGCCUUUUCAACAUUCAACAGUUUCAACAUUCAAUCUGUUGUCCUUCUAGUAAUUCUUAAUUCAAAUUAGGCUGCAAAUAAUUUGCAAACCAUCAGGAUUUGUCUUUAUCAACAUUUACAUAGUGUCCCAAGAGUAAUGGAGUUGGCAUGAAAAUCUUAAAGCUGGUGGACAAAGUGAUACCUCUUCUACAUCUUCUACUUCAUCUACUGUCAGGUUUUAAGUAAUGUCAAAGAUGUUUUUUUAAUGCUUCUGAAUGUCAUUAAGAGGCGUCAGUGUAAGUUUUGGCCUGUUUUUUAACAUGAUAAGAAGUCCUCACAGUGCCUUUAAGUUACCACAAAAAUAAGUACUUGCACCAAACAUUAAUCAUUUUGUUUUUCAAAGCAACCUACAGUCAGUGAGACCACAAGUGAAGGCCUGUUUAAUUUAAGUGUUUUGACUAAAAAGUAUUGAGAUAACAGGCACUGAUGGUAUCAACGAAUAGUGAAGAAACACUGCAGGCCAAAGGCAGCAUAUCAAGAUAAAGGAAACAUUACCUUAGAGGACUUGUGUAUCAAAGAGUUAUGAGUCAUAGGUUUUCUGGGGAUACAGUGCCUUGUGUUAACAUCAAUGUCCACAAAGUGGGUUUGGACCCCAGGCUAUGAGCAUUUGCUGCAUGUCAUCUCCCACAAUACCUUUCUCUCAUCAGUUUUCCAAACCAAUAAAGGUAAAAUGCACUGAAAAAAAAUAACUCAGAGCCUUAAGGGGAGCAGGACUAGCUGAUUCAGACUUUGUUCUAUUUGGAAUGAAAUUAAACUUACCUUAAUGGUGUCACAGAGGACAACAGUUUCAGUUCAGGCCAUCCAGUGGGUCAUUGAAUAGCAGUCUAUAGUCUAGACCUAAUCAUACAGAUUAUGUAUGAAGUGUGUAAUGACUGAUUUGAUCAAAACUGCACACAAAGUAUUUGAUUUCAAAAGUAGAACUAUUGUAAAAUCUAAACCUCGAGAGUCUCAAACAUGACUUAGAGGGAUAUUCCGGCAUAACUCUAAAAUCUUAAAAAUGAUUAAAAUACGUCAGUGAAAUAUUCAAACACAGUAUUUUAGACAUGCUUCAACCCCCCCUGUUGCAAAAUCAGAAAAAAAUCUGUUGUUCCAUCUCGUCCUUGUGAAGCUAGAGGCUGGAGAUGACCGGAAGAGGCUCAUGCCAUGGUCUGCGGGCACCGGGCGCAAGUGGUUAAGUUAUGGUCAAACACACUGUAACACCAAGUUAGACACCCCCAUUGAGAGAUGAAUGUUGCUUACUGCUUGCUUCUCGAGCUGUAUACCAACUUUAGUAACAACAGCAGGGUAGCAAUACACAGCCAUAGCACUAGCCAUCAAACAUCUUCUUAGCUUUGCCUAAUUUCUUUAGCAAAGAGACUAAACACAACUCACCUACUCUCCUCUAGCAGCCGCUUGUGGGGUGGCCUUGGCAAGUCAAACACCAAGUGCCAGUUUAACCAGAACUUAAAUUUAUGCCCGAAUAGCCCUUUAAGAGUGAACAAAUAAAGCAGAUGUGAGGAUGCUUCUCAAGAUAAACAUUUCUGCCUGCUUUGCUCCACAGUCCAUCCACUACAGGAAUAAUUUCUUUUCAACUCCUCUCCCUAGCAGUUCUAUUAUGGUCUGUAUUACACAACACAUAGUACAAAUGGUUGUUGCAGGCGCUAAUCAACAAGUUAGCCAUCUGAUGUUCUUCUCUGUCUGAUGUUAACUUCACGUUUCAUCUUUACUAUAGUUGCUGUGGCUCCAUUUGUCCAGCAUCCUUCUUCAGCUUGUUGCUUACACAUCAUCUGUUGCAUCUUUGAUGAACAGACGAGUCUUUUAUCCAUGCCUGAACCUGGCUAUUAUCAGACAAACGGUUGUAGUUGGCAAGAUUGGAUGAAAAAGGAGGAGGGCUUUAAUAUCACCUACAGGUGGCAGAAUGUUGAAUAAGUAUAUGGUUAAGGUGCACUUUGCAUAAACACCCAGUUUCUCGCUGUGUUGCUCAGUCUGUCCAGUAAUCAAGUGUUUGACUACAUAAAAAAGCAUCCGCUUUAAAAUGCUCCCACACUGAAGGAGGUUUCUGACAGCCGUAUUAGUUACAUACAGAGAGGCAGCUGCCUUGUAAGCAGCAGUGAUACAUAGCUGACAGGUGAUGUGUGUUAAACUGUACACUGGUGUCGGUGUCAGCAGCUUUGGAAAUGAAAGGCACCUCCACAAAGAUAUUUCUCAGGUGUCUGUCUGAGUAAUUCUUUAUUUGACCCACGCUACCUUCCCGUGCACAGCUUUGUCCCAGUGGCUCUGCUCUCUAAAUAUAAUAAUUACACCUACGUGCAGGAUGAUAAAUGUAGUGAUGUGGUGGGAGUAAACCCCGCAGCAGUGAGUGGUCUUGUUAAAUGGAUCUCAGCCAAGGCCCUCCAACCAGGACAUUAGGGCUUUCUACUUCAUUAUUUCUCUCUAGAACUCCAUAAAAAAUACAAGGCCAGUUGUAUUUCACAAAAAAAAUAAGACACAAACUCAAUGAAAGGCUUCUCUCUCUUUCUACUGUCUCACUGUAGGAGAACUUUGAAGCUCAAAUUAGUUUUCUUCAAAUGCAAUCCCAAUGGAGAAAAAAAUUAAGCAGUGUCAGGCUUUAAAAAAAAAAAAAAAGCCUUUUAAUUUCAUAGGGGAAAAAAAUAAUUAAGUUUCUCUUAACCAAAGAGUUGGAGAAUAUCCUUAAUUCUCAAUAUGAUCACUGACAUGGCUUUAAUAGAUCUAUUGUCGCAAAGAGCUGUGGGCAGGGGGCUCCAAUCAUGCAAUAUGUUGACUAAUUUGUAUGUUUCCAUAUAGCAUUGUGAACACAGGGACUAUUUAUUUAUUCAUUUUAUUUUAUUCUUUAUUGAGAGUUAUACUGACAGGUUAAAAAAAGGGAAUCAUUUACUAUGUUUCUCCUAACCCUGCAUCAUUGAACAGGCUAAACAACACACUUCUUGUUUGACAAACUGUUUGCCAUGCCUCCAUUGUUGAGAAGUCUCACACACUUGUUUUUUUUUUUUUUAUUUGCAGAGAGAGAUUUCACAAGCAACACAGUCUCAUCCCCUCGUAACACUGAAACAUUGCUUGAAGUACUUCUUGCCAAUUUAUUUGUGCUCCAUCUGCUACGGUUUGCUCACUACUUGCAUGUUAGGAAGAGCUGUUUUUGCAUGGAUACACUCGCUCUUUUUUUAAGGAUUGAGCCCUUUUUCUUUCGUGAUUAGGAUCCAAAGCAAACACUAAACACUUAAAAUAAAUAAAUAAAUGGGGUCAAAAUGUUCACAAAGUACCAAAAUAUCACAUCCUAAACCCCAAUUUAAGUGUCAACAUCAAGGGUCUUCCUUCCACGAGUUUCCACCCCUAAUAUUAGAGAUAUUAUUCGCAGCAGCAGCAGCAGCAGCAGCAGCAAUGCAGCACUACAGACUUGCACUGAACUAUCAUCCAGAAUACAGUUUACACAUCAAAAACUAUAAAUAACUCUUGAAUAAGAGGUGCAAUCCUCCUGUUGUCCAACAAAAAUUGUGCAAUAUUUACAGACAGGAGGCUGUGAAACUAAACACCAUCCAGGCACAUACUCAACAUACUUGAUACUGUGAAAUUACCUGUUGAAAGGAGAAUAUUGCCACUGUGGGAACUGUGCAGAGAGUGAUUUUUUUCCAUUUGAAAUCUGAUUUUCACACUAUCAGAGUCUAUAUAUAACACAGAGGAAAUUUACUCUUAAAUGUAAAUAAUACUGGAGAGUCAGCUGGCCUUCCUGUUGGAGUGUGCAUCAAGUGUAGCUUUGGUUCGCCCUCCAUACAGUUGUGACCUCACUCAUUGAAAACAGCAAAUCAUAAAAAAUAUCACAAGUGAACUAUAAUGGUAUGGUCCGGCGGUCACAUGACCCCCAAAAGCGUGCCUCCUUGCGCUAUUUACUGUGGGACCUGGAAGUGCCCCGGUUUGGCUCGGAAAAUGGCAGCAGGUAAGUGGACGAAAGUGUAUUUGGCGUGUGGUUGUCAAGUGUGCACCUUCAAACGCCCAAAGUGGGGACAAGAGAGAGUAGUUAGAAAGGGAAACGGUUGGUUGGAGUGCAGGACUGCGGGACACAGGUGCUGGGAAACAGUUUGACGGAGCCAGGCGUCGCGGGGAACGAGUUCGCUCCGUGCGCAUUCCCGGCACCGACACCGCGAGAAGAGAGACACGUGCCAGUAGGGGAUUGACGGGGCGUUUAACGACCUUCGUCACUUUAA
rnacentral:lncRNA from 1 species